CUGGGAGCUGUAGACGGGAGCUGUUGCUAUUCGGCCAUCUUCGAUGCCUGACAUUUUUAAGGCUAGGCUGGCAAACAAUCCAUGAAGACCGCCUCCAGAGAAGAGACUCAUAUUACGUCCAUGUUCUACGCUCUAUGCAAAUUUCAAAGCUACAUUUCUGGGACCCUUGGCAGGGUGCUCAGGCCAAGCGAGGAUACUGGGUAGAGUCACAAAUUACCCAUGUACUUCCUUUACAUUUGCUUCCACCAGGACUUUAAUUCAGUUUAAAUCAGUUCAAGGUGAAUAUCAAGGGAAACACUGAAGAGUAAAAGAAGUAACAAGAGAGUGUGGUGGGAGUUGUGUACCAAAAGCUACUGGAUUCCAAAGCUCUAGGGAACUGAAGAGCCCCAAAAUAGAAGAAGCCUGAGUACCUGAGUCACCACAUAGAAAAAAGCUGCCCACCAAUCAGACCCACCUCCUUGGACUAUUUCAUAAGAAAUAAAAUACUAUUGCAUUGUGUCUCCAAAUUUGGUUGCUGCAGCAAGUAUUACCUUAACAAAUAGACUUCUGUGGCCCUCCCAAACUGGGUCUGGGAAUGGAGAGCAAACACUUUCCUAGUAUACACACUGGUGUAUUGCUUCUUCUCUCAUAUACUCCAACCAUAGCCCAUGGAUUAUUCAUCUAGUCUAAAUGUAUUUAAAAAAAUACCCAGGUGAUAUUUAUUCUUCUAUGGGUAUUGUUUAGCACAGGGCCAGCUCUGUUCUCUGAGGAAAUCAAAGUCUUUGUCUUGUGUUUCAAAAGUAUGCUUUGACAUUUAAAAUUGAGUAUUGCCUAGAAAAUUUUUCUUUGCAUUCUCAUUGCCAUAAUCCUUCUGAGGCAACUGGAUGCUUCAGGCCAAAUGGAAGUUAGGGAGGAUAUCUUGUAGUUAUGGUAGUUUGAGUAGAGGAGGAGAUAAACUUCAAUGGAGAUCAUAUCUUCUUACCUCCUCUAAUAGAACAUCAGGAGGGACUUGCUAUGGAACUAUACUAAAAGUCUAAGAAUCAAUAUUUACUUUUCUUGAGAGAGUGC
rnacentral:lncRNA from 10 species